rnacentral:tRNA from 1 species
AGGGGUGUCGUUCAGUGGUAGGACUUCAGUCUCCAAAACUGAUAACGAGGGUCCGAUUCCUUCCACCCCUG